rnacentral:misc_RNA from 1 species
UUCGACUUGUUCAUUCACUCCUGGUGUAGUUUCAAAAUUUGCAAAGUUGUCACUUUGGGCAUUUUCAGCAACUGCUGGAACAUGCUGGUGUUUAUGCUUAUUUGCUUCUUCUCCAUCAAAACUUGUUAAAAUUAGUUCUCCAAUGGCAUUUUUGUUCCAUGACCAGAAUUGAUUCUCAUAAAAAAUAACAUCUCCACUUAUCAGAAUUUUUUUAGUGCUAGGAUUAUAAAGAUUGUAAGCUUUUGAUUGAUCACUAACACCAAGAAAAAUACACUUCUCUCCCUUCUCAUCUAGCUUUUUUCUCUUGUGAUAUGGAACAUGGGCAUAUGCAAUGCACUCAAAGAUUCUGAAAUGAUCUAUGGCCAAUGGUUAUCCGCUCCAUACUUCCUUCGAAGUCAUGUUUUGAAUUGUAAAUGUGGGACUUCUGUUUAGAAUGUGAAUACUCCAAUUGACUGCUUCAGGCUAAAAGCUUUUUGGAAUGCCACUGCUUGUUAAAAGACUUUGCACCAUAUUCAUAAUAAUGCGUUUUUCCUCUCGCAUACUCCAUUUUGCUGGGGUGAAUAAGCUGCUAUAAGUUGCCUCUUUAUUCCAUGAAGCUCACAAAAACUUGCAAAUUCAUGUGAGUUUUAUUCUCCCCCAUGAUCUGAAUGGAGAGCUUUUAUUAGAUUGCCAACCUCUUUCUCAACAAGUACUUUAAAACUUUUAAAACCUUCAAAUGCUUUAGAUUUCUCCUGCAAAAAAUAGACCCAGCUUUUUUGAGUAAAAUCAUCAAUGAUGGUAAUUAUAUAACUUUUACCUCCAUUAGAAGAUGGUGUUAUCGGUCCAUAAAUAUCGAAAUGGACAAGUUCCAGUGCCUUCUUUGUUCUCCAUGAUUUCCCUUGUGGAAAUGAGUUGCGGUGCUAUUUGCUAACAACACACUUUUCACAAAUUUGAGAGAGAGGUGAAAUUUGAGGAAGACCAAUCAUCAUAUUCUUCUGUUGUAGGGUCUUUAAUCCACCAAAAUUAAGAUGCCCAUAAUGAAAAUGCCAUGGCUAAGAUUCAUCUCCUUGUUUUAUUGAGAAGCAUGAUUGUUGUAUAUUAUUGAGAUAGAGAGAAAACAUUCUGUUUGAGGUCAUUUUAACUUGAGCAAUUAAGCCCAAAUUAUCAUCUUGCAUACGACAUACUCCAUUUUUAAUGACAAUCUCAAACCUCUUCUCUUGCAAUUGACCAAGAAUUAAAAGAUUGGUCUUCAAAUCUAGAACAUAAAGGACAUUAGAAAUGGUUUGAGCAGCAUCCCUUUUAGUUUGAAUGAUUACCUGCCCUUUUCCCAUGACUGAAACUUUAGAGUUAUCCCCGAACUUUAUAGAAUCUUGAUACAACUCAUCUAGAGUGGAGAAAGCUGACUUGUUUCCACACAUAUGAUUGUUGCAUCCAGUAUCUAAAUAUGACAAAUUUCGAUGAGUUUCCUCCUUCACUUGGUAGGCCAAUAACAAGGAGAUUUCUUCUUCCUUCUCUGCAAAAUUAGAUGUCUUCCACCAUCUCUAUUUAAAUUAGUUCGACAUUUUGAUUUAUAAUGGCCAUACCUAUAGCAUUUAUAGCAUUCAACUUUUGAUUUGUUUGCCGACGUUGGCUUGGAAUGAGUUGAAAGGUUGUUGUCAUGACUUCUUCCCCCUCCUUGAGAAUUGGGAGAAUUAUAUUCAAAUUUCUAGUGUGAAUGCCUCCCACCACCAUUAUUGUUGCCUCUGCCCUUUCCUCUUCCUCUACCACCUCCUUUUGAUGCCGAAGAGUGAUUGCUAAAAGCAGCUUGAAGAGCUUGCUCCUCAUUGCUUUGUUGUCGAUUCAUUUUUCUACUCAUGAAUCAACAAUGAACUCUGCAAUUCAUCAAUUGAAAGUUCAUUAGUAUCUUUUGAUUCCUCAAUCGAAGAAACAACAUAGUUGAAUUUCGAUGUCAUUAAGCGAAGAAUCUUCUCAAUAAUAGUGACAUCUUGCAGCUUUUCGCCAUGAAUCUGCAUCUUAUUUGCUAUUGCCAUUGUCCUUGAGAAGUAAUCUGAAACUAAUUCUCCCAUCUUCAUUUUUAAAGUCUCAAAAUCAGCACGAAGUGCUUACAACUGUGCCCUUUUUGCCCUUGUUGUUCCCUGAUAUUUCUUCUUCAUAGAAUCCCAAAUCUGCUUGGAGGUGUCUUUGCAAAGAAUGGUUUCCAAGAUUGAACGAUCAAUUGCUUGGAAAAGAUAAUUUUUUUGCUUUGAGAUCUUUCAACUUAAGUCCUUCAUAUUCUGUCUUUUAAGCAUCUGUCAUCAUAGUACCUUCUGCUGGUUUUGCUAUCCCAGAAUCAACAACUAUCUAAUAUUCUUUGGACCUCAAGAAGUUCUCCAUAAGCAUGCUCCAAUGGUCAUAGUGACCAUUAAAACGUGGUAUGGCUAGAUGCACAAACAUUUUGGAAGCCAUAUGUGUUGUUGAAGAAUAUUCAAGCUGCUGCAAUUUUGGAUCAACACUUUGUCUCACAAAAUUCUCUCUUUUAACUCUCCUAAGUGAAAGACAAAGAAAAUGGCUACGAAAAAGGGAUAAAGUUUAUUACUCACACACAUACAAACUUAAAUUCACUACACUUUAUAAAGAACAAAUUACCAUAAAUAAAUGCAGAAAAAUGGAAGCCAAAAUAACUGAUAGCUGAAAACUUGGUAAAUAAUUAACAGUAAAAUAAACCAAGUAGUCUAGCGAAAAACAAACUCCUAAAACAGAACAGCACCUAAAAACAAGAAGUGUACUGUCAACAAACUUCUAAAGAUUAGGAUAAUUAAAACAAAACUAUGUGUCUCAACAUUUUACUGAGUAUUACUAUUAUCUUCUUUUACAAUUGGACUCUACAAUUUAAUUUUUUUUAUUAUGAAAUUUAUAUUUUAUUCAAUGUAUUAUUAUAAGUAAAUAAUAAAUUU